rnacentral:lncRNA from 1 species
CAGAAGCCCUGCGUUUUUGGUUAAAUAAACACCUCUAAAGGUUUCAGCACAAACCGUAUUAUUAGUGAUCAUUAUAUUUUUCCUUGGUCGCAAGAAUUUCGAGUUUAUUUCAACUUCGUUUUGUACUUUACUUCAUGUGAAACGUUGAUUGUUUUUGCUAUUUUCUUAUUUUGCUAUUAUUUUUAUUCGCAAGUCAAAACUGCCUAUGUAUCAAUGUUGUCUUUGUCUACUGUUUAUCGUACAUCUUUCACCGGAACACGGAAUAUUCUUUGGAAUUAACUUAAGCCAUCACCGUCUGUUACUCUUAAAUGAAAACGUAAUGUCAAAGUACUUGGCGACAUGAAGUCAGAACGAGAAAUGCGCAAGGGCAUGCAUCGGUGUGAAAACAACGUUAGGCGAUGUCUUUCUUUCUUUUUCUGUCAGUUUGAACUGGUUUUACGCAAAUUCGAAAUAUUUUCGGAGUUACAGAAGAAAUAGUGAGCAAGCGUCGAGCAGGUAUACGAGCGGUGUUUUGAAGUUUUCAACCAGUUUUUUGAAGAGUCUGAACCAGUUUUUUGAAGUUUUGAACCAGUUUCUUGAAGAGUCUGAAGGGCAACUCUAUGGACCAGGAAUCGCUGAUUAGCAUAUUAAUGCGAUGGAUAUUGCGACCUUUCCCGCCGCACGACAAAUGCACACUCGAGACGCCUCGGUGAAAUGCUUGUACCAGGCAUAAUAUGACAUGUAUCUUAAUGAAAAAAUUUAAAAAGACUGCUGAAAUAUAUAACAAUAAAACCUGAAAGUUUCGUUUCAA